rnacentral:rRNA from 1 species
AUUGAACGCUGGCGGCAGGCUUAACACAUGCAAGUCGAGCGAGCGGCGGACGGGUGAGUAAUGUCUGGGAACCUGCCUGAUGGAGGGGGAUAACUACUGGAAACGGUAGCUAAUACCGCAUACCAUCAGAUGUGCCCAGAUGGGAUUAGCUAGUAGGUGGGGUAAUGGCUCACCUAGGCGAGGAUCCCUAGCUGGUCUGAGAGGAGGACAAGCCACACUGGAACUGAGACACGGUCCAGACUCCUACGGGAGGCAGCAGUGGGGAAUAUGGGACAAUGGGCGCAAGCAUGAUGCAGCCAGGGCGAGUGUGUGAAGAAGGCCUUCGGGUUGUAAAGCACGUUCAGCGAGGAGGCGGUACUCGCAGAAGAAGCACCGGCUAACUCCGUGCCAGCAGCCGCGGUAAUAC